CGGUAACUUUUAACAUGCAAGUCGAGCGGUAACAGACAUAAAGAUUCAGCUUGCUGAAUCCGGUGCUGACGAGCGGCGAACGGGUGAGUAACGCGUAGGAAUCUACCCAGUAGCGGGGGAUAGCCCGAGGAAACUCGGAUUAAUACCGCAUACGCCCUGAGGGGGAAAGGGGGCAGUUUACUGCUCUCACUAUUGGAUGAGCCUGCGUAAGAUUAGCUUGUUGGUGGGGUAAUGGCCUACCAAGGCAACGAUCUUUAGCUGGUCUGAGAGGACGAUCAGCCACAUUGGGACUGAGACACGGCCCAGACAUCUACGGAUGGCAGCAGUUAAGAAUAUUGGACAAUGGGGGCAACCCUGAUCCAGGUAUACCGCGUGUGUGAAGAAGGCCCUAGGGUUGUAAAGCACUUUAAUCAGAGAAGAAGCAUCUUAAGUUAAUACCUUAUUAUGUUGACGUUACCUGAAGAAUAAGGACCGG
rnacentral:rRNA from 1 species